GUGGGGAAUUUUGGACAAUGGGGGCAACCCUGAUCCAGCCAUUCCGCGUGAGUGAAGAAGGCCUUCGGGUUGUAAAGCUCUUUCGGCAGGAACGAAACGGUGAGCUCUAACAUAGCUCGCUAAUGACGGUACCUGAAGAAGAAGCACCGGCUAACUACGUGCCAGCAGCCGCGGUAAUACGUAGGGUGCGAGCGUUAAUCGGAAUUACUGGGCGUAAAGCGUGCGCAGACGGUUGUGUAAGACAGGUGUGAAAUCCCCGGGCUUAACCUGGGAACUGCGCUUGUGACUGCACGGCUAGAGUAUGGCAGAGGGGGGUGGAAUUCCACGUGUAGCAGUGAAAUGCGUAGAGAUGUGGAGGAACACCGAUGGCGAAGGCAGCCCCCUGGGCCAAUACUGACGCUCAUGCACGAAAGCGUGGGGAGCAAACAGGAUUAGAUACCCGAGUAGUCC
rnacentral:rRNA from 1 species